rnacentral:rRNA from 1 species
GGAUUCCCCUAGUAACUGCGAGUGAAGCGGGAAGAGCUCAAAUUUAGGAAUCUGGCGUGCCUCUGGCCGUCCGAGUUGUAUUCUGGAGAAGCGUUUUCCGCGUCGGACCGUGUACAAGUCCCUUGGAACAGGGCGUCAUAGAGGGUGAGAAUCCCGUCUUUGACACGGACCGCCGAUGCUCUGUGAUGCGCUCUCAAAGAGUCGAGUUGUUUGGGAAUGCAGCUCAAAAUGGGUGGUAAAUUCCAUCUAAAGCUAAAUAUAGGCGAGAGACCGAUAGCGAACAAGUACCGUGAGGGAAAGAUGAAAAGCACUUUGGAAAGAGAGUUAAACAGUACGUGAAAUUGCUGAAAGGGAAACGCUUGAAGUCAGUCAUGUCUGCCAGGACUCAGCCUUGCUUCUGCUUGGUGCACUUUCUGGUUGGAUGGGCCAACAUCAAUUUUGACCGUUGGAAAAAGGCUUGGGGAAUGUGGCACCUUUGGGUGUGUUAUAGCCUCCUGUCGUAUACGACGGUUGGGAUUGAGGACCGCAGCACGCCUUUAUGGCUGGGGUUCGCUCACGUACGUGCUUAGGAUGUUGGCAUAAUGGCUUUAAGCGACCCGUCUUGAAACACGGACCAAGGAGUCUAACAUGCCUGCGAGUGUUUGGGUGGAAAACCCAUGCGCGUAAUGAAAGUGAUAGCUGAGAUCCUCUCAUCAGGAGCAUCAGCGCCUGGACUUGAUCUACGGAGACGGUUCUACGGUAGAGCAUGUAUGUUGGGACCCGAAAGAUGGUGAACUAUGCCUGAAUAGGGUGAAGCCAGAGGAAACUCUGGUGGANGCUCGUAGCGAUUCUGACGUGCAAAUCGAUCGUCAAAUUUGGGUAUAGGGGCGAAAGACUAAUCGAAACCAUCUA